rnacentral:lncRNA from 1 species
AGAUCUGUGUGUGCGUUCGGUGUGUGGCCGGGUGUGGGGGGUGUGUGCGCGGAGCACGUUUUAGCUGGAGUGCUUGGUGUGGUGUGUAUUUGGUUUGCGCUUUGACAUGCAGCAUGUGUUUGUGUGUGCACGCUUAUAGGUUGUAUGUUUCUGCCCGAUUAUAGUGGGAUUAUGUGGGUGCGGUUUGAAGGUGGGUGUGUGCUGUUCCUGCCGGGGUUUGUGGUCGUGCUGUGGUGAGUGUAUAUGUGUGUGCAAUGUGUGGAUGUGUGUGUGCCCGUUGAAGCUUGUGUGCAUAUGUGUGGAGUGUGUUUAUGCUUAGAUGCAGUGUGUCAAUGUGGGUUUACAGGUGGUGUCUGUUGAACUGUGUAGUGUGUGAAUGUGUGCGUGUGCAAGAUUUCUCUAUAAGUCAAUCUACUUGAGAUGUGUGUUCAAAGGUUUAUGCAUGUGAGGGUGCGGUGUGUGUCUUUUGGUGUGAUGUUCUCAUGUGUGUGGUGUGGACGCAUGUGGUCAGCUUACGUGCUUGGAUGAAGGGGUUGUGUGUGUCUUGAAGGGGGAUUGCCGCGUAAGUGUAUGGGUGCGGUGUGUGAGAGUACAGGGUUGUCUAAAAGAACCCAAGUGACCGUGUGUGUGGUUGGGGGCGGGGACGAGUGGGACGUUGGGCUGGGACUGAGAGAAGAAAGGAAGUAGGGGCCGCGACCCCGGCAGGGGUUCCCGCUGGUCUGAUCUUCACCGUGGGGGUUCGCCUGCCCGCCCACCUCUGUGUCGGCAAGGCCCGCUGGGGCAGGGUGUGAAUGUACCUGGCUGCUUAAAGGAAAGAAGAGGAGGGCACCGCACGUGAUUGGCCAGGUAGGGCGCCUAGGGCGCGAUACAGGGGCUGGUGGGAGUAAGCUGGAAAGAUUCUUGGUCUCUGACCUGACACCCCUCCCCCGCCCAGGAGAUCCCAGCUGGUGCCUAGCUGAGCCCAACUAUUUGCUCAGGGCCUGGCUGUUUCACACCUUUUUGGCUUUGUGUGGGCAGAUCCAGUUGCCUGGAAGCCCUUUCCCCUUGGGCCUUGUGACAAACUCCUACUUAUUUUUUUUAAACCUAACUCCAGAAUCACAAAACUUUCUCUGCUCUUCUGUACUUUUCCCUCUCAACUGAGGGCUCGCUUCUUUGAGCCACCACAAUUACACCCUUCAUACUUCUCAUGCCAUGAUCAUACAUAACUGCAAUCAUUUCUUUCCCUUUUUAAACUCUGAACGGCUGUAGAGAAUACCUGGUAUGUAGCAAGGAUAGUUGUAAUAAUAAUAAUAAUGUUGCCAUUUGUUAAGUACCUACUGUGUACUGGGCAUUGUGCUAAGUGUUCUGACAUGCAUUAUCUCCUUGGGUCCUUACAAUGAUCCUGUAAGGUAGACAGAGCUAUAAUUAUUGCUAUUUUUACACUUCAUACAUCAGGCUCAGAGUAGUUAAGUAAUUUCCCCAAGAUCACACAGACCCUAGGAGGCUGAGCUGGUAUUUGAACUCAGGUCUACCAUAUUUCCUAAACCUGUAUUACAUACCAGGUGGCUUUACUAAGAGUCCCCUGAUUCCUGCUAGACAUUGAAGUUUCUAUCAAACAUUAUCAUUUCUCUACAAAUCUUUCUUUUGAGUUUACUGACAGCACCAAGAGUACUCAUCAUAAUUACUGUCUUUGUCUCCCAGACAGCGGAUACUUUCUCCACCUAAUUACCUGCUUUGUUGAUACUUCAAAAUCUGUAAUUACUCUAGGCACAAGUGCACCUCACUAGCUCCAGUUCUGGGAGCUCUCCGUAGGCUGGUGCUGAAAGAAAGAGUUGAAAAUGAACAUUUUCUAGCCACAGGGUCAGGGGAUUUGGGUAUGGAGGGAAAUGGAGGUGAAGAAUCAGGGUGGAGUA